AAUGAACGCUGGCGGCAUGCCUAACACAUGCAAGUCGAACGAAACCUUCGGGUCUAGUGGCGCACGGGUGCGUAACGCGUGGGAAUCUGCCCUUGGGUUCGGAAUAACAGCUAGAAAUGGCUGCUAAUACCGGAUGAUGACGUAAGUCCAAAGAUUUAUCGCCCAGGGAUGAGCCCGCGUAGGAUUAGCUAGUUGGAGGG
rnacentral:rRNA from 1 species